CCAGGUUAUGACCUUGAUUUAUUUUGCAUACCUAAUCAUUAUGCUGAGGAUUUGGAAAGGGUGUUUAUUCCUCAUGGACUAAUUAUGGACAGGACUGAACGUCUUGCUCGAGAUGUGAUGAAGGAGAUGGGAGGCCAUCACAUUGUAGCCCUCUGUGUCCUCAAGGGGGGCUAUAAAUUCUUUGCUGACCUGCUGGAUUACAUCAAAGCACUGAAUAGAAAUAGUGAUAGAUCCAUUCCUAUGACUGUAGAUUUUAUCAGACUGAAGAGCUAUUGUAAUGACCAGUCAACAGGGGACAUAAAAGUAAUUGGUGGAGAUGAUCUCUCAACUUUAACUGGAAAGAAUGUCUUGAUUGUGGAAGAUAUAAUUGACACUGGCAAAACAAUGCAGACUUUGCUUUCCUUGGUCAGGCAGUAUAAUCCAAAGAUGGUCAAGGUCGCAAGCUUGCUGGUGAAAAGGACCCCACGAAGUGUUGGAUAUAAACCAGACUUUGUUGGAUUUGAAAUUCCAGACAAGUUUGUUGUAGGAUAUGCCCUUGACUAUAAUGAAUACUUCAGGGAUUUGAAUAAAAAAAGAAAGGAAAGAAAGAAAGAAAG
rnacentral:sRNA from 1 species